rnacentral:misc_RNA from 1 species
GAAAUGCGAUAAGUAAUGUGAAUUGCAGAAUUCCGUGAAUCAUCGAAUCUUUGAACGCACAUUGCGCCCUCUGGUAUUCCGGGGGGCAUGCCUGUCCGAGCGUCAUUGCGAACCCCUCAAGCACGGCUUGUGUGAUGGGCCCUCCCGCGUCUUGGUCGUCAAGACGGGCCCGAAAUGCAGUGGCGGCUUCGCGGUUAUCCGAUCAGCCAGAGCGUAUGGGGACUUUCUCUCUGUCACACGCCCGCGGCGCGGACCGACGCCUGUCGACCUUUAUUCAUCUUUUUCUCGGUUGACCUCGGAUCAGGUAGGGAUACCCGCUGAACUUAGGC